AAAUGCAUCUGGAAAACACCCCACAAGGAGUUGUUUCGCUUUAGGCACCACUAAACACUAAGUGAGAAGACUAUUCUGGACCCAGCGUGCCGGAAAUCCUUCCAAGUUGGCAGGCGUUAAACCUUCUGGGCAGCACCAUAGCAAUCUGUGAAAACGGGCAUCAUGACAGCGGCAGCACCACGCUCUCCCCAGGCUCACUGAGGAGGCUCUGCACUGAAGCAAGAUGUGGCCCAGGCCCACUCAGACAGGGGCUAGAUGGCAAAGAGAUACAUGGAAAAUGGAAGGAAUGUGAACCUGAGUGCAAGAGUUCAAUAUUUAUUGAGGGCUCUCAAUAAAUAUCAUGUAAGGGAUGCAAUUAGGAACACAUGGGAUCUCAUGAUGACCUCUAAUUAAUAGUUUCCGGAUUUUAGGGCAUGGACUUUAGUGCAUAAGUUGGUUCCCUGGGGCCUCCCCUGCAUACUGUUUGGGUGAGUGGUACCUGUUGUACUCUUAGUAGGUUCCUGAUAUCCAAAUCACUAACUUUUCAGGUGUCAAGACCAGCCCACCCCAUAGACAGCCAGGCCCCAGUACCACUGUGCCCUUUUAGAUGGCCUUUGGAACAAUGUACAAGGAGGACAUGAUGAGUAAGAAGAUGAGGGUUAGUUGGCACCAACUGACCU